rnacentral:rRNA from 1 species
ACGGAAGGCAGCAGUGGGGAAUAUUGCACAAUGGGGGAAACCCUGAUGCAGCGACGCCGCGUGAGCGAAGAAGUAUUUCGGUAUGUAAAGCUCUAUCAGCAGGGAAGAAAAUGACGGUACCUGACUAAGAAGCCCCGGCUAACUACGUGCCAGCAGCCGCGGUGAUACGUAGGGGGCAAGCGUUAUCCGGAUUUACUGGGUGUAAAGGGAGCGUAGACGGCAAGGUAAGUCUGAAGUGAAAUGCCGGGGCUCAGCCCGGAACUGCUUUGGAAACUAUCUCGCUCGAGUACCGGAGGGGUAAGCGGAAUUCCUAGUGUAGCGGUGAAAUGCGUAGAUAUUAGGAGGAACACCAGUGGCGAAGGCGGUUUACUGGACGGUAACUGACGUUGAGGCUCGAAAGCGUGGGGAGCAAACAGGAUUAGAUACCCUGGUA